ensembl:lncRNA
GGAGGAGGCGAGAAGGGAACUGGCAGGGAGAGAGAGAGGGCAGAAGUUGGAUGGCGCUAUCCUUUGUCGCCGUAUUUCGGCACACAAACAGCUGCCGAGCGUCUCCGUGAUCCGUGAAAUUACACCUUCUGCCGCUGUUUCACGCCGUGGUGGCUCCUCGGUGUCAUCCGACAAACGAUCUGCAGCCCCGCGGGCAGGAUGAUGGAGGAAUCGGUGACCACAUUUGAGACGCAUCUGACCGCCGUCAUGGACAGCCUGAUCCGCGCCUCGGUGUGCGAGAUCACCAAACUCUUCCAGGAGACGGUGAACGACUACCUGGUGGAGCUGUCCCUCAACAGGAAGGAGAACGAGGCUCUCAAACUGCGGCUGAGGCUCACCGAGAGCAAACUGAGAACCGAGCGCAAGUACGGCAUGGGCUGGGCUGCCAACCGCCGCAACGCCGGGCUGGUGGCGGCAGCAGCACCGGAGGAGGAAGCUGGAGGCCGGCAGAAGAGAAAACUUGACGUGACUCGUAAGUAUUUGCUGUUUGUGGUGACUUGGAGCUUUUCUUCCUGUUUACCUUUAGUUUGCAUGAUGUAUACAGUUCAAUGGCAGCUUAUCAGCACAUCCUGCAGUAUUUCCCUAUGAUUGUGGCUUUAACGUGAGUAACAAUGUGAAUGCUACGCAGUCUCGGUUUAUGUGAAGACGCACUUGUUUUGUUGGAAAACCAUCUGGCAAGAGCUGAUCUCUCCCUCCCUCCUCCUUCCUCACCCCCCCUUCCUCCUCCGCCUCCUCUUCAUGAUCGCUCUCCCUCUGUCCUUCACCUCCCCCUCUCCUCUCUCCGCUGCAUUCUGUCCCUCCCACUCCCCUCUCUCUUUCUGUGCAUUUGCUCACUCCCUCCUUUCCUCUCUUCCUGCCUGGCUCCUCUCCCCCCCACCUCCUUCACUUCUCUCCGUCUCUCUCCAACUCUACCUCCUCCCCUUCCCGCUACUCUUCUCCUCACGCCCUCUCCUCCUUUUCCUGUUCUCCCUGCCCCCACCUCCUUCUGCUCUGCUCUCUCUCCUUCAUCACGUUGAACACACACACACACUCCCCCUCUCCUCUCCUGCUUCUCACCACCUCCACCACCCUCCAUAAUUACACACUCCCUCUCCACUUCUCCGCUCUCUCUCUGCCUAUCUCAUCUUUUUCAACUCUCCAUCCUACUUUUAUCUUUUUCUCCUUCACCGUGCCCUCCUUCUUUCCUCCUCUUCCUCCUGCCCCCCUUUUGACCCCCACCAACUCCACUUCUUCCUCUCCUCUCCGCCUCUCUCUCACUCCUCGCUGUCACAUGUUUUUCUCUCCUUUCCGCUCUCUUGUCUGUCCUUCCACGCCCCCUCUCCUCAACUCGUUCAUCAUGCUCACUCCUCCUCCGCCGCCUGCUCCCAUUGCUCUCACUCCUGUUCCCGUCUGCAUCUCCAAUCCCCUCAUCCUCCUCUUCUUCCUCGUCUCCCACUUCUCCACCCUCUUCUCUCCUUCAUCUCUCCCUCCCCUGGCCUUCCAAUCACAUCCUCCCACCUAUCCCCCCCCUCAUAUUUCAUUUGCCAUUCUUCCUGCAUCUCCCCCUCCCCUUCACUUUCUCCUUCCUCUCACCUCCUUCACCACCCUCCCUUCUCCACAGGAGGCAAGUCAAAAAAGGGCCCAGCAGCAGCCUAUGGCAAAACGUGGCCUGGAGGUGUGUGGGAG